UGGGGUAGUACGUUGAGGUGGUGAAGCAGGACCGACACCACAGGCAAUUUUCUGCUGCCUAGAAUCAGGGGAAGUUGCUGUAACAUCAUCGGCAUCAGCAGAGAUACUGCUGAUGGUCGGCUUAUUGUGGAGUGGAUACGGCCAGAACGGAAAGUUUGGGUAUGACAGGUAAUGGAGACCGGUGUACGGAUUGACCGGAAUCGGUCCAG